CCUACGGGUGGCAGCAGUGGGGAAUAUUGCACAAUGGGCGCAAGCCUGAUGCAGCCAUGCCGCGUGUGUGAAGAAGGCCUUCGGGUUGUAAAGCACUUUCAGCGGGGAGGAAGGCGUUAAGGUUAAUAGCCUUGUCGAUUGACGUUACCCGCAGAAGAAGCACCGGCUAACUCCGUGCCAGCAGCCGCGGUAAUACGGAGGGUGCAAGCGUUAAUCGGAAUUACUGGGCGUAAAGCGCACGCAGGCGGUCUGUCAAGUCGGAUGUGAAAUCCCCGGGCUCAACCUGGGAACUGCAUUCGAAACUGGCAGGCUAGAGUCUUGUAGAGGGGGGUAGAAUUCCAGGUGUAGCGGUGAAAUGCGUAGAGAUCUGGAGGAAUACCGGUGGCGAAGGCGGCCCCCUGGACAAAGACUGACGCUCAGGUGCGAAAGCGUGGGGAGCAAACAGGAUUAGAUACCCUAGUAGUC
rnacentral:rRNA from 1 species